rnacentral:lncRNA from 1 species
GAUUCUUGACGUUUUAGGGGGUGGCAUUUACUGGGAUUUACCGAACGAGAGGAGGAUUGAGAGCAAUGGGAAGGAGAAGGGGAUUGAAAUUGUGAAGGGAUUAAUGGUUGGGAUUUAUAUAAUUCUGGGAGGAAAUUGGCGUGGUGAUGUGUGAGAGUCGAGAACACCAAAGUUGGCUACUUUUUGGAUGUCAAGGUCUGCGACUGCCACUGACUUUAUCAAAGUGGGGACUACCUACCUCCAUUGCUUCUUUCUCCAUUCAUUUCUCAUUCAUAUUUAUUUUCCCCUCUGUUUUUUGUUUUAUUCAUAUAUUUAUUUAUUUAUUUAUUUCUUAUUAUAUGUUCAUUUAUUAUCCUGUGAACGGAUCCUCUUUGUGAGGAUUCCAUAGAUCCUUCAAUCACAUUUAUUCAUUAUACAUGGUGUGAUAAAAAAUUAUUAUAAAUUUUUUUAUUUAAAAUUGAAUAUAAAUAGUACCUGACAAAAACUAACCGCAUAAUAUACGAUGAACGAAUGUGAUUGGAGGAUCCCCGAGAUCCUCACAAACAGGAUUCGGCGAGGAUCGUCAUUCUCUUGUGAAUGUUACCACGUUUAUUUUCUAUUUAUUUAAUUAUUUUCGUUAUUUCGUUUAAUUUAUUUAAUUCGGCAAUCGGUAAUAAAAAAUGUGUGUAAGAAGAGAAUAAUAGAGCAGGGUUAUCAUUUCUUAAAAAAUUAGGGAAGUGUUAUUGGAAUUCCAAAAAUCUCAUUCUACACUCCUCACAAGUGUAUUUUUCUUUCCUAGUAUAGAAAGUUUGGAAUGUAGAAUGAGAUUUUUGGAGUAUUAAUAACAAUUCCCAGAAAUUAUACAUGAUCUUGCAAAGGAUCAGAGGUUCAAGGUUUUUGUGGUGUCCCCUGGAACCUUCUUUUCAUCAUUGGUGGCAUCAGUUGGUUGGAUUCAUAGUUAACCAGGAUCAGGUGGAACCAUAUCUUUCGUUAGUAAAAUUUUAUUACGGAUGCUUUUGCUCAUCAUGGCCUAAUUGUUUCUGAUAGUCAUAUUUGAGAGGAUUAAAUUUUCAAGUUUUGCUCGGACUGCUUAUUUCUUCGGUUGUACAAGGAACGGUUGUUUUCGUGAUUUGUCUAUGUGAACGGAGUUUUUUCUCUAUCAGAAAUAGAAAAAAUAGGGGUAUCUGCCAGAAAAUAUUAUAAUAAAAUUUAAUGGACCCAUAGUGGUAUUGCACGACUGAAAUGAGGAAAGGAGGUGGUAGAUACAAAUAUUUAUUCAUGUACCUAAAAGCAAAAGGUUAUCAUUUUAAAAUAAUAAAAACUAAUGAAAAAGAUUUUAAAACUUUAAGUUUUAAUGAUAAGAAUAAUAAGGGUAAAGUGAAUAGUAUCAUAAUUGACUUUUUAAUAUAAAAAUGUGAUUUUUCAUUAAAGUGAACAGUACCUAGAGUUUUUCGUUAAAAUUUCAUUUUUAAGUUUGAAUUUCAUGAAUAGUGAAUUCAAUACUAAAUUAUUCUCUCACUCCUUAGUAUUUAUAUAAUGUUGUAUAAAAAAAAGGUUUGGUUGUUGGUAGCCUCCUUGGUUGGAGCAAAUUUUAUGCUCAACUCACAUAAAUGCGAGAAAGAUGUAUGUACUUGUGACGACUUUGAUAUAUAGUUGUGAUCGACUCAAUUUUGAUGGUGAAUUUUUUUUUUUUUUUUUUUUUUGUUUGAAUGAAUUUAUAAAGUGCCAUAUUAUUAAUUGUUUGCGACACUACUACCUUUACUGUGUUUUCUUUUAUGAGAUACCUAUUAGUGUUCAUUUUCUUUACUUAUUUAGACAUAUUCCUAAGAGUUUCUAGAAACGUUACUUACCAUGUAAUAAUUUAUUGUCCUUGUACUAAGAACCAUGUGAUAUUUCUUGGAAUUAUUCUAUUGUAUAGAUCGCCGUUUAUAGUGGAGGGAGAACAUUUUUACAGGCAAAUUCGCAUUCAAAUGAAAAGAAAGAAACAGAAUUUUUUCUCGCUUCGUUUUGUUCGAUAUCAAAUCAUCCUCUAGCUCUUUUUAUGUAAAUAUAUCGUUAUAUGAAGAGAAAGAUACAAAGAGACAAUGAAAGAGAAUGACAGAAAUGCAAAAGAAAAAAAAUGAAACUUGAGUUUAGGUAAGUUAUGUUAGAGUAAAUGUAUAAAUAUAGAGAAUAAUCCAAAUGGUGACUUUAAGGUACGACUUGAAUCGUUUCCUUAAAGUGUUAUUUGCCCCCACUCAAAUGAGUUUGCUAAAAGGUUAUUGACAAAUUACUCCCAGGAUACAACAAAGUAUUUAAUAUUGAAUUAGCAAAACCGAAUUAUAUUCCCUUAGAAAUAACUAGAAAGAAAUUGUAUAAAUGUGACAGAGAAAGAAGAGAGCAAGAAAUGUAGAAACAAAUUUUUGAAAUUGUGUAGACAAUAAAUUUCUGAAUGAAUUUCUCUUCUACCAAUUUACUAAUAUAUAGGGAAGAUUGCACCCGUUAGACAUAUCCUUUAGUUUUGAAUAUGCCUACUCGGCAUGAAAUACAUCAUUUGGUUUUGGGUAUGUCUUAUCGGUAUACAACUGAAUUAAUAUAAUAUUACAACAAUAUACCCAAUACGCAUGUCUGAUGCAAAGCAUCAAUUACCAAAGGUUAUGUAUGUUAGUAAACUAUGCACUAGUCAUACAUGUCUUUUAGCAAGUUGGAAAAGUCACAUUGCUUUAAUCUGAUGAAGAGUAACUGUUGGGCAAAUACCCAACUUCUUCCACACGAAUAUAUUAAUAUAUUAUUAAAAUCUUCAACAGGUUAGUUAGAGAGUAUAUGUCAUUACACAAUUUUGAAUCAUUUUUUCAGUACUUGUUUGGUUUUGGGUAUGCCUAGCCAUAAUUAUUUGGUUUUGAAUUCUCUUUUUGCGAGAAUGAAACAUUUUACUUUAAAAUGAAGAAAAAUAUCACUAGACUAUAGUGUUAAGUUACAAAAAAAAUCAUAUGCUUUUAAUAUUAUAAAAAUGUACAGUAUAUGGGGUUCAGGCCAAGAGUGCUAUUACCGUUCUGCCCCAUCGGUUUUUAAAAUGGAACUUUAACAAAAAGUUACAUGUACUGUUCAUUUUAACGAAAAACCACAUUUUUACACUAAAAAGUCAAUCAUGAUACUAUUCACUUUACUCUUUAUUUUAUCUUCACCAUUAAAACUCAAAACUUUCAAACAUUUUUCAUUAAUUUUCUAUUUUAAAAAUGACAGAUCCCCGCAAUUAUCCAUACCCAAAUGACAAUCAUAAAUCUUUUUCUCUACAAUAAUUUCCUUUUACAUCACGCAAAUAACGUGUGUGAUAACUGUAGUUGAAAAUUAAGCAAUCAUGAUGAAUGCCUCUUUAUUUUUUAUGUUUUAUUUUGUGCCUAUAAUUCUUUAAUAACUCAUGAAACACACCAAAAAUCAACCAAUAUAAAAUAAGGAAAACUAAUGAAAAUGGCUUGAAAACUUUGAGUUUUAAUGAUAAGGACAAAAUAAAGGGUAAAGUGAAUAGUACCAGGAUUGACUUUUUAGUGUAAAAAUGUGGUUUUUCGUUAAAGUGAACAGUACCAGGUGCUUUUCGUUAAAGUUCCCUAUAAAAUAACUAAAACCAUAUAUGUAAUACACACACAUAUUAUUAUAUUGUAAUUUAUAAUUAUAAUUUAGUAUUACGAUCUAAUAAUAUUCUUCUUCACUUAUAAGUGAGAGGUAGGUUCGAUUUUCGUCAAAAGACGAAUUUGAACCAUUGCUAGCCCAUGAGACUAAGCUCACCCACUCCUCCUUAGUGUAGAUAAUAUCAUUUUUUUUCAAAAAAAAUAUAUAUGUAUCUAUAGGGGAUCAGCUGGUAGCUUCACCACGUCAGUUCAUCCUUUCGGGAGCCGAAAAGAUUUAUAGAGACAUUUCAGUAUUUUCCUGACCACCAUCGUAUGAUUCACCAGCAAUAAAAAUCGAAUACAGAACAUACCAUGUAAAAUAAAAAUCUGAAAUUCGUCAUCAACAACUUAAUCAUCCCAUCCCAUGAUGAUAAAAGGCCAGCUGUGUUGAAUGUAGGCUUUGGUUGCUAUGAAUUGGGAUAUCCGUACAUAUUAUUAUUAUUAUUAUUAUUAUUAUGACCAAUAAAUGGGCGAAGAAUUAAGAAAAGCGACUGGAAAGUGGAAACCUCUUUUUGUCAAAGACGUAAUUCAAGUCAAAAGCGCUUCGUGUUAAAGAGGUUUUUCAAUAUGAUUGAAAAUGGAAUGAUAUAUUACAUGUCAUUAUACAAAUAGUUGGGUAUUUAUGUUAAAAAGUUAAUAAUUUAAAAAAUAAAAUUUCUCACCCCUUAUAGAGAAACACGUGAUGUACCACUUCUGUCCGAUCACAAUGAAAAUUUUCUCCUGGGGAUCUCAUAGUCCACUCAUGCAUGUUACAUGUCAAGCCACAGGAAGAGAUAAAUUGUGGUACCCAGCAUGUAAUUUGGGUUUUUAAUCAAGAUGAUGCCAUCAUAAAACGCCAAGUAUAAAGGAGAGAUUUUUGAAUAAGGCUUCAGCUGUAGUGAAAUAUGAUUAUGUACCUAAUUUAAGUUUACCCAACAUAAACUAUGAUUAUGUACCUAAUUUAAGUUUACCCAACAUAAACUAAGGUUGGUAGGGUUGGGACCAAAAUGGAAUGUGACCUCGACUUAUGAAAUAAGCACAUCUGUCAUAAAAUUAAUUAGCAACGGAUGGAAAAAUUCAAAGAAGAUGACAUCACCCAAAGACAAUGGUCAAGUCAUUGCGUUUCAAUACACACCCAGCGAUUUUUACGAGGGGCCGGUUCAACAAAGUUUGACAACUUUUUUUUUUCUUGAGUUUAGAGUUUAGGGUUUACGGUUUAUGAAUUGUAAGUAAAUAUAUAGAACACUCCAUACAUGAAAACCAAUAACCACACUGAAGUUGAUACAAUGGAACUACCCAAAGCUCAAUGGAGUAUACCAAAUAAAAAGUUAGCUAGAUUAAUACACUUGCAUUAAGUUUGGUGAAAUGCACUUUUGAGGUGCAAUUUAGAUCACAGUUUGUGGGAUCAAGAUCUUUUUCAGAUCUCACACUUCAGCAUGCGACCAAGCAAUUCGGAUCAUUCAAUUUAAAUCUUACGGUUUUCAUUAGCUGAUUUCAUUGGUCCACAUUACAAACAAUCUUUCCCAACGCUCAAAUAUCUCCCUCUCUCUUGAAAGCUCCAGGUUCCUCAAUCUCCAAUCUCUGGAGUCACACUCCAGAGAUAAUCUCAAUCUCAAUUUGUAACCACAUAUGGCUUGAAAAAUUGGCAAUUAUUUUAGAUUAAAUAAUUUUACGAAAUGCUUCAUUUUUCAGUUCCAUAUUAUUAAGAGGUACAGAUGGAUUCCAACAACCAAACAACUCAAAGCCACAACUACUUGCCCUACUACUCUUCCGACUUCCGCUUACAAAUAACUGCCAAAGUUCAACUAACACCAUCACUUUCACUUCCCACUUACACCACACACUAACCUCCUCUAAUAAAAGUCAUAAGCAAAAAGACAGAGAGACUUACAUGAAAUGAGAACGUUAAAAAGGUAGUGUCUUAAACAAGGUUUUAAAAGACACUAGGCGCUAGUCGGGCGGCGGGUUGAGCACCUAGACAGCUAAGCGGGGGCUUAGGCGGACUAAGCGGAUUUAAGUAAAUUUAUUAUAUUUCGUGUAAAUAAGUGUCUGUUUAUACUUAAAAUAUAUAUAAAUUACAACAAAAAUGACAUAUAUAUUAUGAAGUAUUGGAACAUAAUAAAAAUAUGGGGAACAAACAUAUAAUGUGUGUUUAUAUAAGUAUUCAACAAGUCUCUUACAAUUUAUUGAAAAAAUUAAUAUGAAUGAAAUUUAUCUAUUUUCUGUUUAUGUGAGUUGCAACCUACGGGUGCCUAGGUAGGUUUGGGCGGGCUAGGCGGUAGGUUUAGGCGCCAUUUUUUAAUUUUCAAACACCUAGGCAUUAAUCGGGACAGUGACCAGCCGCCUAGAUGCUAGGCGGGGAUUUUUAGAACAAUGGUCUUAAAUGUAUCAUGCAUAGCUGCGUGUUUUGGUUUUACCACAUGAUGUCUUAUAAUUAAUUUGAGACAUUGCAACCAUGACGUCAGAGACCAAUAGACAAGUAGUAGAACGCAUGACAGAAUCUAAAGCCAGUGAAAAUGAAGGACAAGCCUUUAAUACUUAAUAAAACAAGCAAGAUAUAAAUUAGACAUUUAAUAUGAAAAUAUGUAUUGAACUAAGAAUUUCCGAGUAGAAGGAGAUUUACGCUACAUCAUGAGCAUUAAAAGGUUUUAAUAGUCAUUUACAAAUUCUCCAGAAUUCCUCGCAAUCUAAUUAGUUUUUCUAGUUCUUAUUUUUAAUAUUUUGCAAUGCAUUUCUUACUAAUUUAGCUUAAAUCUCGUGCAACGGAGUUAUCCCUAGUCCUAAAGGGGAUACGAAGCCAAGCAACAAAACAAAGACAAUCUACGAAUAAACGAUCACUAAACCGAAAUGGGGAGUUGAAUAAGCAUUGUUCAAAGACAAAAAAUUGCCAUCACAUUGACUAAAGUGGAAAUGCUCCUCCACAGUCGAGCUUGAUUUCAUCCUCUCACCCAUUUGUAUAAAAAGAAAAUGCUACUCAUUGCCAACUCUCUUCGUCUUUGUCCUUCUACCUUGUUAUGAAGAUGCAAACCAAUCCUCUGUAAUGCUUGUUUAAAAACAGAUAUCCAAAUAUUGUUUCUAUAGAAAUUGUCAAACAAUAUAUCAAUUACUUUCCUUUGUCACUAACGAUAAAAACACACAUACGACAUACGAGAAUUGGCGCAAAAGAAUCCUAUUUUUCAAUUUGUAGUGUAUUUUAUAUUUUUUGUUAGUCAAAAAGCUCUUCAGAAAUUUAGCUGUAAAAUGUUAAAAAGAAGUAAAUGAGACGAAUGUGGUUUUUGCGUGUGUCGCCAUUGAAGAUACUCGACAAAGAAAUCCACUUUCAAUACGACAAAACUUUGGCUCCUUCCUUUGAGAAGAAAAAGAAUAUUUAUUGGGACUUGGAUCCUCUCCUGAGCCCAAGGAGAGGAUACUCCUGACCAAAGGUCUUAGACCGUUAGAUGAAAAUCUAACAGCUAUAAUUAUUAUAACUUUAAAGGGACCCCCUUGUUUGUAGCCGUUGACUUUUCAUCCAACGGCCCAAGUCUUUUGAUCAGGAGGAUCCUUUCUUUGGGCUCAGGAGAAGAUCCAAGUCCUAUUUCUUGCUCCCCCUGCCAUUGAUUGUCCCAAAAAUACCAACAGGAUCCUCUCUGGAUCCUUUUGGUGAGGAUCUUGAAGAUUUGUAAAUCAUGUCCAUUCAACGUACAUCAUGCAAUCAGUUUUUAUCAAAUAUUGUUUAUGUUUGUUUUUAAAUAAAAAAAUUUAAAAUAAUUUCUGACCGCAUGAUGGACGAUGAACGGACACAGUUCACGGGUCUCUGAAAUCCUCAUAAAGAAAAUCCGAACUCCCAAAAAUAAAAUCCAACAUUUGAAAUUGUAUAACAUAUAGAUUAAAAUCGAACCCUCAACUUAAGACGGUAAGCAAAAGUGCACUCUAGAAAUAGGUACUCCUAUCUUCCAACAAAUAAAAAUCGGACGAGCAUGGAAAAAUUAAUAUGUUUUUCUAUAGUUUAGAUGAUGACUUGUUUUAUAAAAAAAAUGAUUAGCUAGUGGCUUGACCACGACAGUCCAAUUUUCCGACGGCCAGAAAAACUUACAGAGGCAUUUCAGCCUCCCCUAGCCACCAUUAUAUGAUUCACCAGCGCAAGAAAUCAAACCCAGGAUGUGUCGUGUACAAUACAAGUCUAGAAUUCAUUCUCAACCAUUGGACCACCCCGUGAUGGUUUUAGACGAUUACUUCUUGAUACGGUGUUAAAUGGUAUUUACAAGAAUAAAAAAUCCACUAUACUACCAGUAUCCCCUGGUAACAAGUGGAGGAGCGAAGAUAAUUGCGGACCAAAAAGAAAAUAGAGUAGCCCAUAAACAAACUAAGGGCCAACGCGUCAUAACCAAACAAAUUCAAUGACCAAAAAUUAACAAGAUGAUGAGGUAAAAAUAGUUGUAUAAAUAACGUUCGAAAAUUAAUGUAGUGUAGCAUCUGGGUGGAUUUGAACCGCCAACCUCCCAAAGCCCAGCUAAGGGCUCUAAGAAAAUGCGCCAACAUCCAGCUCAUUUAAUCCACUCAGUGAACAGUGAUAGACCUAAUGAACAAUAAUUGGCUAAAAGCAUCUCCACCCCUAAAAAAUGCGGUGGCACAAGUCUAAAAAAUAUGUUGGCACAAACAAUCUCCACUCCUACAAAAUGUGUAGGCACCCAACCCAUUUAAAAUAUUAUUAAUUUUUUUAUAAAAUAAUAAAAAAAAUAGUUUUAAUUUCGAAUAUGAUUUUUAACCAAUCUUGUCACGCCAUGUGUCAUUAUCCGAAAGUUCUAUUUUGUGGAUAGAUGUCUGAUAACAUUUUCAACCAAUCUCGAUGCGCCACAUGUCACUAUCUGUUUACAAUAAUUUAGCCAAAAUUUCGAUCAGAUUUUCAAACAAUCUUAUCACGCCAUGUGUCAUUAUCCGAACGUACUAUUUUUUGGACAAAUUUUCGAUAAGAUUUUCAACCAAUCCCAAUGCGCCACGUGUCAAUAUCUGUUUACAAUAGUUUAGCCAAUAUUUCAAUCAGAUUUUCAACCAAUCACGUAGUGCCACAUGGCAUUGUCUAGAACAUCAUCCUUUCUUUUUUUGUCCAUAUAAACCCUACAUCCAUCAUCAUUCAUACACCAAACUCAAUCCUUUAUUUUUAGCUCAGAAUCAUUCUUUAUCGUUUUUAAAUCUUGAGUUCUUACAAUGUCUUUUUCAAGGAGAAUGUAUUAAAUUGAUGAGCACCAGAAAAAAUUGUUGGCACAACCGGAAGAAUUGUUCAAUGUGGAGGAAGGUGGAGAUGAGGCUUUCGUGAUGAAAGAGGAUGAGGAUGAUGAAGAUAGAAGGCAUAGGGCCUCACAUUCCCGUCAUGUCAUGGAAGCUGUGGAUUAGAUAGCCAAACCUAGACGCGCCGCAAACUUUAAUAGAAAGAGGGAAAGAGAAGGUAAAGAUCUCUUGGAAUAUUAUUUUAUCCCCUACACUGUAUUCCUUGAACAUAUUUUUAUAUGUCGUUUUAGAAUGCAACGAAGUUUGUUCGACAAAAUCAUGAGUGCUAUUUGCAACCAUGGUCCAUACUUUGUGCAAAAAAAAGAUGCUUUUCAUGUUCUAACUCUUCUUCCUGAACAAAAAAUCACGGCUUCCUUACAUAUUCUUAUAUAUAUAGCAUCUGUAGAUCAAAUGGUUGAGAUAGUGAGGAUGGGAAAAACAACUGUUCUUGAGCCCCUGAUGCGAUUUCGCUCCGCAAUCGAAGCCCUGUACACCAAUGAGUACCUUCGAAAACCCAAAUUUCUUGCAACUCCAUCUCAUUACCCAUAAGCGAGUCAUGAGUAAUUUAAACCCAGCAUUGACACAACGUAACAUCUUCGAUAAGCUUCCACGUAGCCAUUUUUUCCACAAAAAAGUAAAUUGAAAUUUUAAAAAUAUUGAAAUGUGGUGUAAGGUGGAAGAUGAUGGUUAGGAAUUAAAUUUUUUUUUUUACUUUUCUGUAUCUUUAAAACAAUUUUUCUUAAUUUUAAUUAAGUUAAUUAAUUUGGACUAUUGGAUUUGAAAAAGACUCAAAUCCAACAGCCCAAAUGUUGACACGUGGCCAACGGUACUAAUUCUGACCAUUGUGCCCUGGAUCGAACGACUCAGAAAUCACCACGUCACUAGCCGUUGGAUAUGAUUUUCAAAUUUUUUUUACCAUUGAAAAUCUAACGAUCCAGAAAACUAGCCAUUGGACCUAGAACGAGCCAAAUGGUGUCUACCCCGCCUCCUCUACCACGACUACAACGGUAGACCCCAUAGCCUUUUUUUUGUCGGGAACGCAUGCCUACGCCCGCGUGCUUCCACUCGCAAGACGAAAAAAAAAUUUCAAUGUGCUAUGACAUCAUGCUAACGCCAACUUUACGUCACAGAGGCUAGCUAAUUGCUCAGCACAUUUUAGGCCAGCCUACGGCCUGGCUUUGGCUGGAUGCCAGCCUAUUAGGAUGGGGUGGAGGACUUCUGGGGAGUGCCGGUCCAUCAUUUGUGCUUUGAGCCAACCUACCCCUUGGGAUGAACUUGCUCUUACAUAUCUUCAUUUCAAACAAGUCAAGAAAUUCAAUUAAGACUCGAGCAUACUUUGUUAUUAGGUGAAAAAAAUGGAAGCAACUAUGUGCAGCCAUUGUUUAAACCAAAUUUCAAUAAUAUUAAAGCAUACUUUGAUCUGACUCAUUUGAUAUUUUUGUCGUAGUAAAAAAAAAUUGCAGCAGAAGCCACGAAAUUUGUUUUUCAAGUGGCAUACGACAUAGAAAUUCUCAAGAGGUAAAAACCCAGCACUAAUGUUCGAAAAGAAAAAGACCACAAUAAAAAUAACGAUUGAUUUAAAAUUAUGGUUCUUUAAAAAUAAUAGUUUAUUAAUUAUAACAUUAAACGUGUUUAAAAAAAUAAAAAAUAAAAACCGGUUGCCAAUGACAAAAUUAAAAUGGAAAUGUAAGAUCACAUUAAAAUCUUAUUAUUUUUAGUCAUUCAAAAAAAUUCGCAGCAAUUUAUAUAAUAGUUAAUCAAACACUCAACAAUUUUACUUGAUAACUGUUUAUUCUCACAGUACGACAGUACAAUAAAAACCAUUUUUUUUUUUUCAAAGCAUAACAAUACCAAACUCACCCUUAAAUAAUACAACUUAUAUAAUACAAGUAAGAGUUGCAUGUCUAAUUCACAAAAAUCUUUCACAAUAUCCAUUUCCAUCUAUCGUGUGGUGUGGCUAUCUUGUGAUCUGAAUAUGCUGAAAAAUCUCCCAAAAAAGAGCAGGUUCACAAAUUUAACAUACCAAAAUUCUUUGCUCGCCUAAAAAUUUAACAUUACUAAUAUAAUUUAGACUAAAAAUUUAUCAUACCAAAAUCCUUUAUCUUGGCAUAAAAUGUUUGAAUCAAGUAUUCCUCACAAUAAGUUGUAAAAGACGAAGGGAAGCCAAACUCAUUUCAUUAUUCACCUCAAGAUCCCCAAGUAGAGAUUGCAGACGGGAUUUCAUCAUUUCCACAGCCAAGCAUGCAUGUAUUCGAGAUUGCAAUUGAACGGAAACAAAUAGGCCUCCGGCUUCAUAGAUAAGAGAGAACUCAGUGGCCCGCCAAUCCAACUUCUUGGACCAUCUCCAACCGAAAGAAAACCAGAAAGUUCUCUUUGACCCAAUAACCCUCUAAGAAAUUAUAUUUUAAUAAACAGUAUCAGACCAUAUUUUAUAUAAUCUCCAAACAUAACCCAUGACCAAAAACCAUCUCCAUUCAACUAAAUUACCAUAUUAAAAUAAAAUUUUGAACGUAGGAAGACAUAAAAAUGAGAUCAGAUAUUAUAGAAUGAUGACAAAUAUUUGAAAAAUGAUUAAAUUUUUUUUUUUUAAAAACAAAAGUGAGCUGGACAAAAAAUAUUCUUCCCAAAAAAAAUACGAGCUAAGCCAAAAGAGUCGAUUGGGCUAAAAAAAUUAUCCCGAAAAGAUAAACAAGGAAUCGGCUCAUCGUACUAACCGAUUGAUUGAAAAUGGCCAACAAGCCAGAUGAGCCAGCCUACGUUUUUUUUUUUUCCAAAGAAUUUUUUUGCCCAAUCCACAUUUGUUUUUUGGUGGAUUAUUUACCCCGUCCACCUUUUUUUGACAUUUUUUUGAAUUUCUAAUUUUUUUCCUACAUCAUUCUCAUAUUUUUUUUUUUACCAUUCCAUACUAUUUUAUUUCAAUUCUUCGCAUUAAAUUGAAUAGCCUUUUGAGCCCCUCAGUUAGAUAUAGUAUGAAAUAUAAUAUAACAUUGUUUAUUAAAAUAUUAAUUUUUUUUAGAGGUAUAGGGGUAAAAUGAGCUCUCACCUUCAUUGAAAAUGACCUUAAUGCCAUCUAAGGGGUAUACAAUUUCCAAAUCUUAAAGCAGUAGCAGCCACAGGCAACAAAAUUACAUAGGAUCCAUACAGCAUCCUAUCCAAGAAUACAUCAUAACAUCGAUCGCAAUCAAUACCCUCCCGCAAUUAGUAUACAAAAUAAAACUUAAGCAUCAACUCACACAGCAACACGUAAUGAAAAUUUCCGCUCAUACACCGGAGUGUCGUAACAAAAGCACGAGGCGAUAUUGGAAAAGAUUGCAAGCAUGAACAGUUUCAUAAAUAUGAAUCACAAUAACAACGUAGGUUAUAUUACAACGAGUGCUCAAGCCUUACAAAAUUAAAAUUUAUUUACCAACAUUCUAGGUUAAUUUGAACAUUAAGCCAGACAUGGUAAAAAUCCAUAUCCGUUAAGGUUUUAGAUCCACCGAGUGUAACAUAUUAAUUGGUAACAAUUGUAACUACUGUCUUAUAACUUACUACUACUUUGAAAAUCAGUUUAGCGGUUUGAAGGAACACUGCAAUUUAAUAAUACUAGGAAGGCCAUAUUUAUAAACUAAAUUUACAAAUUAAAUCAUCUAUCAAUAAUAUAAAAAAAAAACAUGUUAAUCAGUAUUAAGUAAUACUCCAAUCAUUUUUCAUGUUUUAUUUUACACAAUAUAAUAUCUCUAACAACCUAGUUAUAUUUAGGAUACCCAGUUAUAUUUGGUUUCAUCCGUUUUUAAAACAAGAUUAGAUGUUGGACUUAAUACUAGAAAGAUUAAAUUUACAAACUAUAUAAUGUUAAAAUAGAGAUUUUUAACGAAAAAUAUCCCGGUAUUGUUUACUUUAAUAAAAACCAUAUUUUUACACAAAAAUUAAUUCAGAUACUAUUUACUUUACUCUUUAGUUUGUCAUUUUUGUUAAAACUCAAAGUUUUCAAGUCAUUUUCAUUAGUUUUCCUUAAAAUAAAAAUAAAUAGUAACAGAAUUAACUUUUUAAUGUAAAAAUAUGAUUUUUCAUUACAAUAUGCAAUACCAAUAGCUUUUCGUUAAAAUUUCUUUUAUUUUAUUAUCUUUAAAAUUCAAAGUUUUCAAUAUCAUUUUAUUAAUUUUCCUUAAAAUAGACACAUUUAUCAACAAUUAAGAAAUAAUCCACUCAUCAACUUCUUUAUCAUUUAAUUUACACAAUUUAAUCUCCUAGCAUUACUCUAAAAAUAUGAUUAAUCCCCUAAAUUAAGUUGAAGUGGUUUGAGCACGAGGCAAAUUAAUUGUACACAAUAAAAAUGGGUUUGCUGUGUAACCGGAGAUGUGAUAGUAACAUGAUUAGAUAGAUUCAUAUCAAUUGAAAUAGGCGUAGUCAGAUAGUACCUUUGGCGGUGAGAUAUGCCGUCGUCGUUGCUGUGCUGAAUCCGAAUUCAAAUGCAUAUGUGAGCAGUAGAGCAAAAACAAACACAACACAACAGAGAAAGGAGGGCACACCACACACCGGAGGGGAGACCCUGGGCCAAAAAAGACCCAUGCUGUCUCCCCUCCAAACCACAAACGAUGUUAUUUUUUUUAUUGAGAUUUUUUUGACCUGCCAUGCAAGCGCACCUGCCAUGGCAAAGGCCGGAUGACAAAGAUCGGUCCAGGACUCAGCUCUUCCACCGAGCCUUUAGUCCCGACAUCUCAUACAUCCGAUGCGUACCCAAUUAACCCCAUAAACACCCAUCUCUUCAGAUUCCCAGUCAUCAAAUUACAAUUGUAGCAUUCACAUAGAUUCGGUGUAGAGCACCUUCAGCCUUCAUAAGACUCGGAUCUGCUGCUGAAACGCCAUCGAAUCAAGCUCGGAAACAUCAAGGAUUCAAACCCGCAUAGAUUGUGCAAGAGCUCCGUAGCUAUAUCUGAUCGAAAACAAAACAACAAAGCAAUCAGAAUCUGUAGCAAGCAGAAGCACUAGAGCAUAAACAGAUAAGAAAAUCGAAUCGAAGAACACAGGCGAAAGCCGGUUUAACCGGCUGAAGUGCAAAAGCAUAUCAAAUCAUCAUCCCAAUCUCAAACGACCAUCAACGCGAAUAUAUCGAUGCGAUCUACGCGAAUCCGCAUGAAUUAGACAGAGAGAACGAUCCAUGCAGAGCAGAUCUGCAGAAGAAAUCAGGAGGCGAAGCAUAGAGUUGUUAAGAGAGAGAAGACUGUUAGCGUUGAAACUUUGAAUGGUUCAGAGUCAGGCACCCUAACGUACUUUUAUAAUGGGAUAAGAGAUGCGAUGGACGGAUGGGAUUUGACUCCUCUUCUUUGAGAUGGACGGUUCAUAUGGGGCGUUGUGGUUAGUGAUUCAUGAGCUGGACGUUACCAUCCAACACAUAUUAUUUUGCCGCCUUAUAGGUGGGAACAGGUGGGACCAUGGCUUUCCUUUUUGUUUGGGAAUCCGAUACCCCGUAAAAAGGUUAUUAUAGCUGUUUUUUUUUUAUUUACAAUAAUUAGGUUUUAGAGCAACUCCAGCGGAGGCUGGUUGCUCGGGCGACAGGCGAGGACAAAGGGCCCCAGGGUCGGUGGAGAGAGGUCCAGCCGUGUGGAGGCCGAGCGACGGUGGGAGCCCAAGCGAAGGUGGGGUGGGGAGUCGACGGGCCUGUGGCCCGAGGGCUUUGCAAUUUUUUAUUUUUUUUGUGUCAGAGAAAGAGAGAACUUUUGUAAUUUUUUAUUAUUUAAACAAACAAAAAAAUUAUUAUUUUAAUUGCUUAUUGCCAGGGAAAGGGUGGAGAUGUAAAUGACAAUUAUUGUUCAUUAAUGGUAGUUACUAUUCAUUUAAGGCAGUUACUGUUCAAUAGGGUGGAUUGAAUAGUGAAUUGCCAGAGGGAGGGCUCCAUGGGUGGAGUUGCUCUUACCCCCACAAUUUCUUUAUUAAUUGGUUCUACAAUCUUAUCAAUUAUUUGACCAGAAUAAGAAUAUAUUGGGCCAUUGGCACUUAUCCCUUGGGAAUUUCAGAGCAUUUAGCUUAUUUCUGACUGAAGGUCAAAUUCAAGAAUUCAGUAUUUUUAACUUUCGGUCUGAUGAUAUUUUUUUUACUUAAAAGUGAGAAGUUUUAAGUUUGAUUUGUUCGAAUACCGUAACUGGUAAAUUCAAUACUAAAUUGGACUAUCCAUUAUGUAACUUUGCCAAACUCCACCUCCUCUUAUUGUCAAAAUAUCGAUGUAGUAAAAAAAAUUAAUUAAAAACCUAUAAUUAUCACCAUCAACUUUAUUAUUUGAUAAACUAUUGUAUUUUAUUAUUUUUUUAAUAAUUUUGAAAUUAAUUUUGUACAAUCUUAUCUUAUUUGAUUGUUUACGUACAUUUUGAUGUAAAAAAUUCAUUUCAUGCAGAGAGGAUCUGCAUGAGAAGAAGAGCCCCGUAGUGGCUAUAUAACUCACUUUUUAGUGAAUUUAUAAUCCAUCGUAUUUAGCUCCUAUUUUUUAUUACAAGACUCAAGUCCAUUUUAAUUAAUCACAACCUAUCCUAAUCAAUCCAUCAAACAUACCUGAUGCCCAAACACCCUAUUAAAUUAAACGUUAAAUUAAUCACCGACUAAAUUUAAAUGUAAAAACUCAGCAUCUUUCCACGAUUGUAAUACAAGACCACUUGCUAGAAUAACAUUAAAAAAUAAUUUGUACAAAUACCACUUUUGCUAGAAUAACAUUAAAAAACAAUUUGUUUUGAAUGUAAAGACUCAGCCUUUUUUCCACCACUGUAAUACAAAACCACUUGCUAGAAUAACAUUAAAAACAAUUUUGCUGUAAAAUAUAAUUUUGCAUUAAAAAAAACAACAGAACAGAGCAAAAAGAUAAACAGAAUGCAUACCCAAAAAUCAACAGACAACAUCAAAUCAUGUAACGAAAAAUUCAUAGCAAAUCUGGAUGGAUUCGAACCACCAACCUCUCAAAAGCCCAGUCAAGGACCUUGAGCGCUCUUCCAUUUUUGAGCUUACAGAUCUUCAUUUCAAGCAACGAGCAGGAGGCAAAACUUCUGAUACUUCCAGCUUAAUUCUUUUCAAUAAGAAAUUUACAGUACAAGCAACUACUUGUCCACUUACGUUAAGUACAUAUGGUAGAUCAAUUUAAAUGGGGGGUAUUCUACCCAAAUAAAGAAAUCUAAGUUAGGCCCCGCAAUAAGCCAACAAUAAUUUAGUUGAAUUAAAAUAAAUAAAUAAAUAAACUAUAAACAUAAACAAAAACAAAAACAAAAAAACGACCAAAAAUAAAAACCCCUAGGCAUGUUGAGAUUAUCCAUGAUUUGAAUGCCAAAUUACCAAUAGACCGGUAGACUAUCGAAACCUCAACCAGGCAUUAAAUUCUAUAAUAAUUAACUUGGUCGAACAGUGAACCAGGCUUUGAAUUCCAAAGUAAUAAAAUCAGAGUCAAUUUAAGGCAAGCAUCAUUUAACCACAGUGAAAAAAUACUGAGCCUUUGCAUAACGUGUGUUCAAAUCUCGAAUCUCGUCGGUCACUAAUCUAAAAUUUAAUUUAACAAAAUCUUUUGUUUGGUCAAAAUAAAAUAAAAUUAAGAUCCCCCCAAAUGUUAGGGCAUCCGUUUUCUCGUAUGAUUUAGAGAUCCAAAAAUUAACUUCUCCGAAGGCAUAAAAAAUACAAGUGUUCUAAGCAGAGCAACUAUUCCCCCCGAAAUUAACUUCUCCAAGGGCAUAAAAAAAUGGACUUGGAUCCUCUCCUAAGCAGGAGAUCAAGAUCCUCGGGAUCAAACAACAUGACCCGUUGGAUUUUAAUCCAACGGCUAUAAUUAUUAUAACUUUUAAAGGACCCCUGUUUGUAGCCGUUAGAUCAAAAUCCAACGGUCCAAGUUGUUUGAUCCCGAGGAUCCUGAUCUCCUGCUCAAGAGAGGAUCCAAAUCCUAAAAAAAUCAAGUGUUCUAAGCAGAGCAUCUAUUCCCCAGCCGAAGAACAAAUUCAGCUGUUUCAUUUUUACAAUUAACUUAACAGUAACACAUACCCUUCCAGCAAAUUUUUAGCUUUAGUUAAACCCCUUGCAUCAUAUAAAGGAAGAAAUCAUGAACAAAACACCUUCUGUAAGUAAUUGUAAAUAGAAACUACAGAAUACAAACACAGAACGACUACACCGAAGCUGUUUGAAAAAUAACCAAAAUCAUGUACUACAAAAACGACACCAGUUUAACAGUAAUUCCUCCGCAAUUCUAUACAACAAACAAAACUAGGGCAAAAUAUUCAAUCUAAACUCUUUUAACAAAUGAAUAGAAUAAAUAAAUGAUAAUGCGGACACCCAUGAAUGAUCAAUUGCAAUGACUUAAAUCACAAAACGUAAAUUAACCGAAAACAUUACUUGCCAAUACUUAAAAGCUUUAGAGACGGAGGAAUGCGAAGCUCAACUCGUUUCAUUGGUCACCUCGAAUCCUCAGAAAAGAGAUUGUCACGAAAAUAACUUCUGGACCUAUCCCACAACCAAGCAGCUUGUAUUUGAGCCGAAAUUUAGUUUAACUUGUAAUUGUGAUGAGAGGCUUCGUUCUGGCCAUUCAGGCUCGCCGAGAAGUAAUCUGCCGGAAUCAAACCUCCCUAGAAUCAUCUAAUUGGAAUACAAUACAUGGCUUACAGCAAUGGAAUCCAAAACCAACAUAAUUACAUAAAAAGAUCCGUCAACUAACAGAUCUCACAAUAUCUAAUAACAUCCGUUUAUCAGCAAAUAUUAAUGCAAAUGCCAACAAUUUAAAUGAUAAUCUCAUCCUCAGCUCAUAGAAUUUGAACUACCAUAACAUUAAUAACGAGGCAAUAAUCAGUGCAGAAGAGACUUUGGUAUCAUAAGGAUGACUGGUAAAAGUAAGCAGGAACGAAUCGGAGGUGUCGGGAAUUGUUUAGUAGGAUGACAACGUUUGUGCAUAAGUGGACAGAUAUUACCAACUAUAUCAAACAAAGUUUUGAUUCGUGGUUGGAUCUUUCGGUUGGAGCUUUAAAAUUGUGAUCAAGUAUUGUAAUUUAUAUUUUACAAUCAACAGAUAAAAUAAAUUUGCUCCCUUUAAAGUCGAUUGAAAACAAUUUGGAGUAAUUUGAGAUUGAUUGAACAACUCCACAGAUUGUAAGCAUCGUCCACUAGCAUCAUCAAUCAAUUACCAAGUUCCAACAAAGAUAAUUUAUAGUGUUUACAAAAUUAGAUAAAACCCAUAUUGAUUUGAGACAAUUUGAGCAAGAAGCUAAUUAAUUGUGCAAGUGAUUAUAUGUUCCCUGUGUGAGUGGCAGGCUUUAUUUAGCAUUAUUAGAUUGAUGAAAUCAGUUGAAAUAGAUUAAUACCUUUGGCGAUGAGAUAUCGAUGCGGCCGCAGUUGUCCAGAAUCCAUGUCCGACUGUUUGCAGUUGGGGGCGAGCGAAAAUAAGAGACAAAACAACAAGAAAGGACAGAGGACGCACACCACACACCGGAGGGGAGACCCUGGGCAAAAAUAAACCCCAUGCUGUCUCCCCUCUGAACCAAAAAUCGUUAUUUUUUUAUUGAGAUAUUUUUUUGACCUGCCAUGCAAGCGCACCUGCCAUGGCAAAGGCCGGAUGACAAAGAUCGGUCCAGCACUCGGCCCUUCCACCGAGCCUUUCGUCCCGAUAUCUUAUACAUCCAUCCGAAAUCAACCCAUAACCCCAACCCAAAUCCCACGAUAUAAAAGCUUCAGUCUCAUGAAAUUACAACCAUGAACCAUGACCCUUUGGUUAAGAUUAAACAUGCUUCGGCCACCACGAGAUCGAAUUGGAUCAGCUGCUGAAACGCCGCCGGAUACUUGUAAUCUCCUCCGAUUUGGUUAGAGCUCCGUCUGCGAAAUCUGUUUGGACGCCAAAACACACAUCAAUCAAAAUCUAUACGGAGCAGAAACACUAAAGCUAAAAUUCGUUGCAAAUUAAUAAAAUUUAAACAAAAAAGCAAAAACAAUAACGAUUUGAUACAAAAGUUCAUAUCCAGAUUAGUAAAACGAAUCGAAAACAUAUACGUACCUGUAAAUUCGAAUCGAAGAGCGACGAACACAGAAGCUCGGGCUGGUAAAACCAGCUGAAUUCAAAAGCAGCUCAAACCAUCACCUCACAAUCUCAAACCACCAUCAACACGUAGAUCUCCAUACGAUCGACGCGAAUCCGAUGGUGAUCGACAUAGAAAACAAUCCAUGGAGCGCAAAUCUGGAGAAGAACUCCUGAGGCGCAUGAAGUUGUGAGAGGCGAGAGAGAAUAUUUGGUGGCGUGAACCUUGAAUGGUUGAUAAGCAGGCACCCUAACGUACUUAUAAGAGGAUAAAAAUUGGGUAGACGGCUGCGAUUUCUUAAUUAUCAUCGUGAUCGACGGCUGGUGUUGAUCAUGUGGUUCGGUAGAUUUGGCGGUGGCGUAACCAUACACGUACCCUGAUGAGCUGGAGACAGAGAAAGCACACCCCAUUUUAUUGACCAUAUCAAACACGACAUGUAGUUUUUUUGGCCGCCUCGAUAGGUUGUUUGGUGGGAAUCGGAUUCAAUUUUUAUGCAAAUAUCUAUUUUGUCGAGAUAGAAUUCACGACCAUAUCUGGAUUCUAUCUUUAUUAGAAAGAUAAUACAAAUUAUGGUAUAAAUAAACUAUAAAAAUAACAUUUUUAUUUUAUUACUAUAAUUUUGGUUGGUUCUAGAUUAUUCGAUAUAUAUGGGCUAAUGGUUUCUUCAUUGUUGGGCCUUAAGAAUAUACAGAUAUUUUGAUAUAAGUACGCAUUAUUUUUUAAUUUUUUUAAUCAAAUAUCCAUGUCUUUUAGUAAUUUGAUUAAACUUUUUUUUGUCAUAAUAUUGGUGCUAUAUGCACAUUAUAUUGUAACAAAUUUCAUAUAAUCUAGCUUUUUGAUUACACUCUUCUUCGUUAGAGAUAAUUGUAAAAAUAAAAAAAAGUUGGUUAGAUUCAAUUUAUUUUCACAAUAAUGUUACAAUUUAGCAAUAAUUAUCUACGAUUUAAGAUAUUUUCUUUUCAAAAUAGUUUAAAUAUUUUUAAUCCCCAAAAAUCAAACAUACCGAAAUAAGUUUUUCUUUUAGUACAUUAAGAGAAAAUAGGAUUGAGAAUAAUAUAAACGUACCAAUAUAAAAAAUAAAAAUAAUGUACCAAUAUUAAUAAUAUGUAUCAAAUCAAACAUACAGAAAUUGCAAAUAAACAUAUCAAUUAAUGAUUUUUGUAAAUUCAAAUGUACCCUCAGAUAAUAUAUAUAUGUAAUGUAUCGUACCUAAUAAUAAUUCGUCAACAACUAUACUUAAAAAACAACCAAAAAUAUAUAUAUAAUUUCACAAAAAAAUUGAAAAAAUUACACGGAGCUUUUUAUGUUGAUCACCAACUAUUUGAAAAAGAAAAAACCAUUUGAAAAUUUAAAUAAUAUUAAAUGUUUGCAUAACAAAAAAAAAAUUGUGAUCGAAAAAACAUAUUUGGAAGAAGAAAAAAUAUAGUUUAAUUACUAAUAUUUCCACUAAAUAAGAAAAAGUGCAUCAUACAGAUAAAAUGAUAAAUUCAAAAAAUAUUUUAAUUUUAAAGAAUAGAGGUAACCAUUGGUCAAAGCACUUUAAUCAAAUUUUAAAAAGACAUAGAUGUUUAAUCCAAAUUAUAUAGAAAAACUAUAGGGAAUUCUAAUUUUCCCAAUAAUAUAUUGGGCCAUUGGUUUUUUGUCAAAGGAUAGAAUUGUAUUAAUAAUCAAAUACGAAUGGAAACAUUUGCAUCUUCAGCUAUAAUAUUAAACAAAAAUUGAGGUCCUAAUUCAUCCCAACCAUAGCGCCCACCAUGCUUAAGAACGUACGCCACCACCAUAUGGGUUGCAUGUCGAGGGGUAAAGAUAAACUUCACCAAUUGGAAUGACUGCAUAAUAUUCCAAAUAUCAACUAAAUAAACCUCCAUCAACACAUCAACUUGAAUCUCCUUAUUUAACAUUUGAACCAAUCCUUUUGAAUCAGACUCCACCUUCGGGUCGAAUUCAAGAAUUCAGCUUUGUAUUUUUAACUUUCGGUCUGAUGAUAUUUCGUUUUACUUGAAAGUUAGAGGUCUUACGUUCGAUUCGUUCGAAUAUCGUGGAUGGUGAAUUCAAUAUCAAAUUGGAUUACCCAUUAUGUAACUUUGCCAAACUCCACCUCCUAUUAUUGUCAAAAUAUCGAUGUAGUAAAAAAAAAUUUUAAACCUAUCAUUAUCACCAUCAACCUUAUUAUUUGACAAACUAUUGUAUUUUGUUUUUUUUUUUAAUAAUUUUGAAAUUAAUUUUGUACAAUCUAUCUUAUUUUUAUGUGUACAUACAUUUUGAUGUAAAUAAUUCAUUUCAUGCAAAGAGGAUCUGCAUGAGAAGAAGAGCCGUAUAGAAUUGUAAAGAGAGAGAGCCUGCGAGUGAGCUUUGAGGGUACACUUCGAGGCCCAACUUUUUUUUUCCAAUCCUUGUUCAGUUGAAAUUUACCUAUUUAUUUGACUGUUAAAAAUAGAAUUGAAUAGACAAGAAUUAGUUAAGCUUUGUAAGACAAGACAUUAAUGCAUGUCUAACGAGCGGCUAUAUAACUCACGUUUUUGUGAAUUUAUAAUCCAUCAUAUUUAGCUCAUAUAUUUUUUUUACAACUCAAGUCUAUUUUAAUUAAUCACAACCUAUCCUAACCAAUCCACCAAACAUACCCAAUGCCCACACACCCUAUUAAAUUAAAUGUUAAACUAGUCACCGAUGAAAUUUAAAUAUAAAGACUCAGCAUCUUUCCAACACUAUAAUACAAGACCACUUGCUAAAAUAACAUUAAAAAACAAUUUGUACAAGACCACUUGCUAGAAUAACAUUAAAAAACAAUUUGUUUUGAAUGUAAAGACUCAAAAUCUUUCCACCACGGUAAUACAAGACCACUUGCUAGAACAACAUUAAAAAACAAUUUGUUGUAAAUGGUGAGACGGAUACCAAUUUAUUUUUCCAAUUUGCUGUAAAAUAUAAUUUUGCAUUAAAAAAAGGGUAAAUUACAUAGUAACCCCUCAGAUUUGAGGUCUAUUACAACCUCAUACAACAUCUUUAAAACAUUUCACUUUCAUACUUCACGUACUAUUUUAUUACAAUCUCAUACAAUCUCUUUAAAACAUUUCACUUUCAUACCUUAUGUAUUAUUUUAUUUCAACAUAAUACCUCUGUUAGAUUUUUCAUCCAUUAAUCCGUUAAAUCCUGACGUGGCUGCCACAUUUGUGCUGAUGUGGCUGCCAUGUGGCAAUUUUUUUUUUUUUUUUAUAUGUACAUUAAAAAUAUUAUAAUAUUAACCCUAUUAAAAAAAAAGAAACUCAAACCCAAAAAUCCUUCCCCGCAACACCACAUCCCACCCCCACCCCUUACCCAUCUCUUCCUUCCCGUCCCUCCAUCCCCUCCACCCGAGCACCCCUCAGCUCGGGUCCCACCUUGACCUCUCUCUCUCUCUCCCCCUCCCUCUCUCUCUCUUCUGUAAAAUGUGGAAUGGUUUUUGAGGUCUAGUGCCUCGCCUCCCUCCCUCCUCCUGGACCCUUCCAACCUCGACCUCUCCUGCCUCGCCUCCCUCAACCUCCUGUCAUGUAUAUUAUAAUAUUAUAAUAUUUUUAAUGUAUAAAAAAUUAUUAUUUUUACCACAUGGCAGCCACAGCAGCACAAAUGGGCUGUCAUGUCAACAUUUAACGGAUUAAUAGAUGAAAAAUCUAACCGAUGUAUUAUGUUGAAAUAAAAUAAUACAUGGAGGUAUGAAAGUGAAAUAUUUUAAAAAGAUUGUAUGAGAUUGUAAUAAAUUUCAAACCUGAGGUGUUACCAUAUAAUUUACCCAAAAAAACCAAAACAACAAAACAGACAGCAAAAAGGUAAACAGAAUGCAUACCGAAAAAUCACCAAACAACAUCAAAUCAUAUAACGAAAAAUUCAUAGCAAAUCUGGAUGGAUUCGAACCACCAACCUCUCAAAAGCCCAGUCAAGGACCUUGAGCGCUCUACCAUUUUUGAGCUUACAGAUCUUCAUUUCAAGCAACGAGCAGGAGGCCGAAAUCGAUCAACAAAGUUUAACUUCUGAAUUUUCCAGCUUAAUUCUUUUCAGUAAGAAAUUUACAGUACAAGCAACUACUUGUCGACUUACGUUAUGUACAUAUGGUACAUCUAUUUAAAUGGGGGUAGUAGUCUACCAAAAAAAAAAAUCUAAGUUAAGCCCCGCAAUAAACCAACAAUAAUGUUGAGCCUUUGCAUAAUGAUGUUAGUUCAAAUCCCACAGUAAUCAACUUGGAGUCAAUUUAAGGCAAUUUAAGGCAAUUCAAGGCAAGCAUCCUUCCAUGAUGAAAAAAUGUUGAGCCUUUACAUAAUGAUGUUAGUUCAAAUCCCGUCGGUGACCAACCUAAAAUUUAAUCUUACAAAAUCUAUUACUUGACCAAAAUAAAAUAUAAUUUUAAGGUCCCCCAAAAAUUUAGGGCAUCCCUUUUCUCGUCUGAUAUAUAGAUCCAAAAAUUAACUUCUCCGAAGGCAUAAAAAAUACAAGUGUUCUAAGCAGAGCAACUAUUCCCCUCAAAAUUAACUUCUCCGAGGGCAUAAAAAAACAAGUGUUCCAAGCAAAGCAACUAUUCCCCAGCCCAAAAACAAAUUAUGCUGUUUCAAUUUUACAAUUAACUUGCAGUAACAAAUGAUUCCUGCAAAUUUUUAGCUUUAAGAUUUAUUUGGAUUUACUUUUAAAAUGAUUGAAAAAUGACUAAGAAUUGGUUCUAAAAAAUGACUAAAAAUACUUUCAGAAAAAAUAUUUUUUUGUUCCAAAAACACUUGAAAUACUUUCCGGAACAAGCACAUAUUGUGCUUCUUACAGGAAGCAAUUUAAAUGUAAAUGUUUUUUUUUCAGAAUUUACUUACAUUUUUACUACGAAUUGGUUACAAAAACAUUUUCACCAAAAACGCUUUCAAUCAUUUUAAAACCACAUCCAAACGAGCUUAGUUAAAGAGGUUGCAUCAUAUAAAGGAAGACAUCAUGAACUAAACGCCACCUUCUGUAAGUAAUAGUAAAUAGAAACUACAUAAUACAAACAUUGAACAACUACGCGGAGCUGUUUGAAAAAUAACCAAAAUCAUAACCCCUAAUUGUGAAUCGGGCAAUAUCAACAGACCACAAUUUGAUCUAUCAUCCAAGUACUAUAAAAACAACCCCAGUUUAACGAUAAUUCCUCCGCAAUUCCAUACAAACAACAAAACCAAGGGAAUAUAUUCAAUCUAAACUCUUUUAACAAAUGAAUAGAAUAAAUAAAUGAUAAUGCCAACACCUAUGAAUGAUCAAUCGCAAUGACUUGAAUCACAAAACGUAAAUUAACCGAAAACAUUACUUGCCAAUACUUCAAAAGCUUCUUGUAAAUUAACAGAAAACAUUACUUGCCAAUACUUAAAAGCUUUAGUUUCAUUGGUCACCUCAAAUCCUCAGAAAAGAGGUUGUCACGAAAAGAACUUCUGGACCUAUCCCACAACCAAGCAGCUUGUAUUUGAGCCGAAAUUUAGUUUAACUUGUAAUUGUGAUGAGAGGCUUCGUUCUGGCCAUUCGGGCUCGUCGAGCAGUAAUCUUCCGGCAUCAAAUCUCCCUAGAAUCAUCUAAUUGGAAUACAAUGCAUGGCUUACAGCAAUGGAAUCCAAAACCAACAUAAUUACAUAAUAUUACAAAGAUCCAUCAACUAACAGAUCUCACAAUAUCUAAUAACAUCCGUUAUAAACAAAUAUUAAGGCAAAGGCCAACAAUUUAGAUGAUAAUCUCAUCCUCAGCUCAUAGAAUUUGUACUACCAUAACAUUAAUAACGAGGCAAUAAACAGUGCAGAAGAGACUUUGGUAUCAUAAGAAUGACUUGUAAAAGUAAGCAGGAACGAAUCGGAGGUUUCGAGAAUUGUUUAGAAGGAUGAUAUAAGUACGUUUGUGCAUAAGUAGACAGAGAAAUUACCAACUAUAUCAAACAAAGUUUUGAUUCCAAAUUAUUUCUGUCCUUUCUUAUUCCAAACAAAGUUUUGAUUCCAAAUUAUUCCAAAUCGUUUGUGCAUAAGUAGACGGAGAAAUUACCAACUAUAUCAAACAAAUUAUUCCACGAUACAAUAAAUUUGCUUACUUUGAAGUCAAAAUGAUUGAAAACAAUUUGGAAUAAUUUGAGGUUGAUUGAACAACUCCACAGAUUGUAAGCAUUAUCAAUCAAUUACCAAGUUCCAAUUAACAUAUUUUAUAUUGUGCUUACAAAAUUAGAUAAAACUCAUUGAUUGAGACAAUUUGAGCAAGAAACUAAUUAAUUGAUUGUGCAAGUGAUUAUAUGUUCCCUGUGUGAGUGGCAGGCUUUAUUUAGCUUUAUUAGAUUGAUGAAAUCAAUUGAAAUAGAUUUAGAUAGAUUAAUACCUUUGACGACGAGAUAUCGAUGCGGCCGCAGUUGUCCAGAAUCCAUGUCCGACUGUUUGCGAUUGGGGGCGAGCAAAAAUAAGAGAC